rnacentral:lncRNA from 1 species
UUCAUAAUCAUCCCGGAAAUCUGUUCAUAAAUAUCUUCUGGCUGUCCAUUCACCGGAACUCGAGUUAUCCCGGGAAGAUCGACCAUGGUAAGAUCGGGAACACCAGAUUUCUUUACAUGGAGGGUCAAGGGAGUGUCUGAGACCCCUUUUCCAGAUCCUGCAACAUGAAUUUUCACAAGGUACUUAUCACAAUCAAGACUUCCAUUGGUUAGUCUAAAGCAUAUAUCACUCUAGAGUUUUAUCAGAUAGCAAAACUAGUGUAAUAGCAUGAAAAAUAUCGAUCAUUAAAAAGAUCCACUAGGUAACACCUCUAGGCAUUAGUAUUCAGUAUAUGCACAUGUAGUUUCAGGGAGUACUAUAUAAGUAGCUACAGAUCGGUUUGAAUGUGAAUAUUUUAGGCAAAAGGUGUUAUUUUCAUUUUCAGAAUCAAUCAUUGCAGGUUUUAACAGUUAAUAGUAUGGAAGGAGAGAAGAAAAACUUACCAGCAAUUACAUCAGUUGCUGCACAAAUAGCUUCAGUAAUGCGUUCCUCAUCCGUAGGAACAACUUGGUCACCAAACUCAAGCCAGAUCUCAGGUUCAGGGUUAGGACUUCGCUGAAGCCUCAUCACAAGAGG